rnacentral:rRNA from 1 species
GACGAAAGCUGGCGGCGUGCUUAACACAUGCAAGUCGAACGAAGAGCGAUGGAAGCUUGCUUCUAUCGAUCUUAGUGGCGAACGGGUGAGUAACGCGUAAUCAACCUGCCCUUCAGAGGGGGACAACAGUUGGAAACGACUGCUAAUACCGCAUACGAUCUAAUCUCGGCAUCGAGGAUAGAUGAAAGGUGGCCUCUACAUGUAAGCUAUCACUGAAGGAGGGGAUUGCGUCUGAUUAGCUAGUUGGAGGGGUAACGGCCCACCAAGGCGAUGAUCAGUAGCCGGUCUGAGAGGAUGAACGGCCACAUUGGGACUGAGACACGGCCCAGACCUCUACGGGAGGCAGCAGUGGGGAAUCUUCCGCAAUGGACGAAAGUCUGACGGAGCAACGCCGCGUGAGUGAUGACCGGCUCCGGGUUGUAAAGCUCUGUUAAUCGGGACGAAAGGCCUUCUUGCGAAUAGUGAGAAGGAUUGAC